CCGUUGCGCGCGCAUCCCGCUUGCAAACAACCGCCGCUGUAGGAAUCCGAUUGCCUUUCGGCAGCUUCGCAUGAUGCGGUUUGGGUCCCGCGCAAUGGGAAACUGUGAACCUCGUCAGGUCCGGAAGGAAGCAGCGAUAAGCGGAUCUUCACAUGUGCCGCGGAUCGGCCUUCUCUGUUAUCCUGCGAAGCUGUCGGAAGGCAAUUUGAAACGG
rnacentral:SRP_RNA from 1 species